rnacentral:rRNA from 1 species
GUAGUCAUAUGCUUGUCUCAAAGACUAAGCCAUGCAUGUCUAAGUAUAAACAAAUCUAUACUGUGAAACUGCGAAUGGCUCAUUAAAUCAGUUAUAGUUUAUUUGAUAAUACAUUACUACUUGGAUAACCGUGGUAAUUCUAGAGCUAAUACAUGCAAAAAAGCCCUGACUUCGGAAGGGGUGCACUUAUUAGAUAAAGCCAACGCUGGGUAAAACCAGUUUCCCUUGGUGAUUCAUAAUAAUUAAGCGGAUCGCAUGGCCUUGUGCUGGCGACGGUCCACUCGAUUUUCUGCCCUAUCAUGGUUGAGAUUGUAAGAUAGAGGCUUACAAUGCCUACAACGGGUAACGGGGAAU